GUCAAUGCGGCAUAAUGGUUUGAGCGCUGGAUUAUGACUCUGGAGAUCCUGGGUUCGAAUCCCUGCUCAGCCA